rnacentral:rRNA from 1 species
CCUACGGGCGGCAGCAGUGAGGAAUAUUGGUCAAUGGCCGUAAGGCUGAACCAGCCAAGUCGCGUGAAGGAAGACGGAUCUAUGGUUUGUAAACUUCUUUUAUAUGGGAAUAAAGGUGUCCACGUAUGGCUAUUUGCAUGUACCCUAUGAAUAAGCAUCGGCUAACUCCGUGCCAGCAGUCGCGGUAAUACGGAGGAUGCGAGCGUUAUCCGGAUUUAUUGGGUUUAAAGGGUGCGUAGGUUGUUUUUUAAGUCAGCGGUGAAAGUUUGUGGCUCAACCAUAAAAUUGCCGUUGAAACUGGAAGACUUGAGUGUGUUUGAGGUAGGCGGAAUGCGUGGUGUAGCGGUGAAAUGCAUAGAUAUCACGCAGAACUCCGAUUGCGAAGGCAGCUCACUAAGCUACAACUGACACUGAAGCACGAAAGUGUGGGGAUCAAACAGGAUUAGAUACCCUUGUAGUC